rnacentral:rRNA from 1 species
GACGAACGCUGGCGGCGUGCCUAAUACAUGCAAGUCGAACGCUUCUUUCCUCCCGAGUGCUUGCACUCAAUUGGAAAGAGGAGUGGCGGACGGGUGAGUAACACGUGGGUAACCUACCCAUCAGAGGGGGAUAGCACUUGGAAACAGGUGCUAAUACCGCAUAACAGUUUAUGCCGCAUGGCAUAAGAGUGAAAGGCGCUUUCGGGUGUCGUUGAUGGAUGGACCCGCGGUGCAUUAGCUAGUUGGUGAGGUAACGGCUCACCAAGGCCACGAUGCAUAGCCGACCUGAGGGGGUGAUCGGCCACACUGGGACUGAGACACGGCCCAGACUCCUACGGGAGGCAGCAGUAGGGAAUCUUCGGCAAUGGACGAAAGUCUGACCGAGCAACGCCGCGUGAGUGAAGAAGGUUUUCGGAUCGUAAAACUCUGUUGUUAGAGAAGAACAAGGACGUUAGUAACUGAACGUCCCCUGACGGUAUCUAACCAGAAAGCCACGGCUAACUACGUG